ACCACUUCUCAGCCUUUUGGCUAAGAUCAAGUGUACUGUCUGUUCUUAUCAGUUUAAUAAUGGAUCAUUGCAGUGUUUCCUACUGAGUGCAAAGACAGUCUUGGGAUCUUUCUUAACACAG
rnacentral:snRNA from 1 species